GAUGAGUUCAGUCACACAAUCAUGCAUGGCCACAAAAUUGCCAAAGCUUUACCACCUGCACCCAAGCCUUCUGCAGAUCCGAUCAAAAAACCCGCCCCAAGUCCUCGACCUGGGUCCGCAGGUAAAAAAUAUGACCCAGCCGCAGUCUAUGGCGCACCAUUGAACUCAUCAAGAAAUAGACUGUCUGGUGAAAAGAAAAGGCCAAGUACCCCAGGGAGAGCAGUUCCUAUACCUCGACAGAUGG